AACGAACGCUGGCGGCAUGCCUAACACAUGCAAGUCGAACGAGACCUUCGGGUCUAGUGGCGCACGGGUGCGUAACGCGUGGGAACCUGCCCUUAGGUUCGGAAUAACUCCCCGAAAGGGGUGCUAAUACCGGAUAAUGUCUUCGGACCAAAGAUUUAUCGCCUUUGGAUGUGCCCGCGUUGGAUUAGCUAGUUGGUAGGGUAAAAGCCUACCAAGGCGACGAUCCAUAGCUUGUCUGAGAGGAUGAUCAGCCACACUGGGACUGAGACGCGGCCCAGACUCCUACGGGAUGCAGCAGUGGGUAAUAUUGGACAGUGGGCGAAAGCCUGAUCCACCAAUGCCGCGUGAGUGAUGAAGGCCUUAGGGUUGUAAAGCUCUUUUACCCGGGAUGAUAAUGACAGUACCGGGAGAAUAAGCCCCGGCUAACUCCGUG
rnacentral:rRNA from 1 species